UGCAACCUGAGCUCAGCGAGGUUACCCG
rnacentral:rRNA from 1 species